GGUCCUAGCGCACGCCGGUUUCGCUCACUGCGCGGCUGGGGGAGCGCCCCGCCCCGGCCCGGAAACCGCCGGAAGGGGACCCCGGAGCCCACCGCUCCGGGUUCCCAGUCCGUGCAGCAGCGGCCACGCACCUCGUCCCUUCCGCACCCCUGCUGGAUCGGGAAGGAAGCAGGAUAAGUUAAUGAGAUGUCCACCAGAGGGCCUGGCAUGGACACAGCACAUGGCCACAGAGGCUGGUGGGUGCUAUGGAAUCUUGUCCCCUGGAGAGGCACACAGCCAGGGCAGAACAUCAAGGUCAAGGCUCACCUGAAGGCCUUACAGUGCUUAGUGACACCACCAUCAGUGACCAUCAGGUAUCAGGAAACCAUUUGGCACCUCCUCUGGAACGAAGGCAUGGCCAGGCACUUGAGAUCUGGCUGUCGAGGCAGAGGUAGUGCACGUGACCUACAGGGUGAGGUCUGCUCCCCGCUGCUGCAGCCAUCUGCGGUGGAGACCGUGUGUACACAGGCAGUGCCAUCUGAAGGGAACUCCGCUGCCUCUAUGUUCUACUGAGGCAGGGGUGACUGAGCCGGAGACUGGAGAAAUGUGUUCGUCCCCACGCACAGCCUGGCUUAGCUGUCCGUGGCCGUCUCCUGCCGCGGAGAAGCACACUGGAGUGGCCCGUGCAGUGGACCAGAGCUUCCACCCAC